CCCCCGCGGGCGAGCCCGGAGCGCAGGCAGCGGCCAGCGGGACCUCACCGGCCGCCGGGCCGCGUCCCUCGCCCUGGUUCUCCCGGACGUGCGCGGCGCCACACCGGCCUCCGCUCCCGGGCUCGCCCCGGACCGGGAUCCACGCCCACCCCGCGCCCCGCGCCCCGGACCAGGAGCCAGAAAAGCAAGCACCCGCCACGCGCGGGCAAGUUGGAGACUUACCUUCCCCGGAUGCGCUACACCAUCAAUGGAGCCACUGAAGACGCGGGUUCACAUCCCGGGGGAACACGGAGCGGGUUCGGACAGCCCGCUAGGGACUCUGGAAAUUCUGAUGAGCAUGAACGUUUUCAAAUAAGGCCGUGGCAAAAGAUUAAGAAAGAGGAAAACGAGACUGGCGGGCCGCGCCGCCUUUUCGAAAAGAGUAAGAAAAAAAAGCCUGAAAAAUCUCAUCAGGGAAUAAAGAAGGGACUAUAACCGCCGACAGAGCGGGGAUUUUAGAGAGAGAGAGCAAUGUACACAACUCUGUGCCAGAGAGGAAGGAAGAGGGAUUGAAACCUCAGUGAGAAUCAUUGAUCUGCGGCCUCCUACACACCCUCUACUGGGGAUCAAGACCAAAACCCGCAUGUGCCCUGACCAGGAAUCCAAAUGUGACCUCCCACAAUCACUGAACCACACUGGCUGGACCAACAUUUCCUUUUAGGAAAAAUUUAACUAGCAGAUGUUAUUGGACUGUGACCCACGAGAUCUAAAAGCAAAUAGGACUUUGCCAUUACCUUUCCAAGUAAUUUUUAAAAUAUUUUAUUUGAAUUUAUUGGGGUGAUGUUGGUUAAUAAAAUUAUAUAGGUUUCA